rnacentral:lncRNA from 1 species
UGCUUCCGGUAGUUCGGGGCGGGUUUGGGAACCGGGUUGGCUGAUGCCAGACUUCCCAGUGCAGAACCUUACGGCUUGGAGCGCCGCGGGGAGAGCCGGUUCUUCCGCUAUAGGACACCAGGCCUUUCUCGAGACCUCUGACCUUUCCCAGGGCGAGACGGCCGCGAUUUCCACGCAUGCUCAGUACUUCCGAGUGGGCCUUGGCGCUCAGUGAACAGUCCGUGCUUCCGUAUUGUUGUGAACAUCAGGGCAGCAGUUCUGUUCACCUGGAUUUAUAAACACCAAAACGUAGCAACAGCCAGUGUGCAAGUCACUGACAACCCAAGUCACCAAAAAUCUUACUGAGAACCCACAUGUCAUUAGCUCCUUGAAUUAAAGAUUAUUUUGUGAAAAGAGGCUUGAUCGUCUUGUUCUGCACCUGAAAUAAAGCAUUUCCCAUUC